rnacentral:rRNA from 1 species
GACGAACGCUGGCGGCGCGCUUAACACAUGCAAGUCGAACGGAAAGGCCUGCUUUCCCUUGUGGAUUGCGGGUACUCGAGUGGCGAACGGGUGAGUAACACGUGAGUGAUCCGCCCCCAACUUGGGUAUAAGCCUGGGAAACUGGGUCUAAUUCCCGAUAGGACUGCAGGGUGGUGCCUGUGGUGGAAAACGAUUUUCUAGUGGUUGGGGAUGAGCUCGCGGCCUAUCAGCUUGUUGGUGGGGUAAUGGCCUACCAAGGCGGCGACGGGUAGCCGGCCUGAGAGGGUGGACGGCCACAUUGGGACUGAGAUACAGCCCAGACUACUACGGGAGGCAGCAGUGGGGAAUAUUGCACAAUAGGCGGAAGCCUGAUGCAGCGACGCCGCGUGGGGGAUGACGGCCUUCGGGUUGUAAACUCCUUUCGACCGCGAGGAAGCCACCUGGUUGGAAGGGUGGUGACGGUAGUGGUAGAAGAAGCACCGGCUAACUACGUG